GAAUAUUGGACAAUGGGGGGAACCCUGAUCCAGCCAUGCCGCGCGUGUGCACAAUGCCAUUUGGAUGGAAAGCCCUUUAAGCGAGGAGGAGGCUACUCCAGUUAAUACCAAGGGCAAGUGGACGUUACUCGCAGAAUAAGCACCCGCCAACUCUGUGACAGCAGCCGCGGUACUACACAGGGUGCAAGCGUUAAUCUGAUUUACUGGGCGUAAAGCGCGCGUAGGUGGCCAAUUAAGUCAAAUGUGAGAUCCCCGGGCUGAACUUGGGAAUUGCAUUCGAUACUGGUUGGCUAGAGUAUGGGAGAGGAUGGUAGAAUUCCAGGUGUAGCGGUGAAAUGCGUAGAGAUCUGGAGGAAUACCGAUGGCGAAGGCAGCCAUCUGGCCUAAUACUGACACUGAGGUGCGAAAGCAUGGGGAGCAAACA
rnacentral:rRNA from 1 species